GACGAACGCUGGCGGCGUGCUUAACACAUGCAAGUCGAACGAGAAUCUGCGGAAAGAGGAUUCGUCCAAUAGAAGCAGAGGACAGUGGCGGACGGGUGAGUAACGCGUGAGGAACCUGCCUUUCAGAGGGGGACAACAGUUGGAAACGACUGCUAAUACCGCAUGACACAUUGAGGUCGCAUGGCCUUAAUGUCAAAGAUUUAUCGCUGAAAGAUGGCCUCGCGUCUGAUUAGCUAGUUGGUGAGGUAACGGCCCACCAAGGCGACGAUCGAGUAGCCGGACUGAGAGGUUGAACGGCCACAUUGGGACUGAGAUACGGCCCAGACUCCUACGGGAGGCAGCAGUGGGGAAUAUUGGGGCAAUGGGCGCAAGCCUGACCCAGCAACGCCGCGUGAAGGAAGAAGGCUUUCGGGUUGUAAACUUCUUUUGUCAGGGACGAGUAGAAGACGGUACCUGACGAAUAAGCCACGGCUAACUACGUGCCAGCAGCCG
rnacentral:rRNA from 1 species